rnacentral:rRNA from 1 species
ACUCCAUGAAGCUGGAUUCGCUAGUAAUCGCGCAUCAGCCAUGGCGCGGUGAAUACGUUCCCGGGCCUUGUACACACCGCCCGUCAAGCCAUGGGAGUCGGGAGUGCCUGAAGUUCGUGACCGUCACAGGAGCGACCUAAGGCAAGACCGAUGACUGGGGCUAAGUCGUAACAAGGUACC